CCUACAUGCAAGUAUUCCAUUGCACGCCCCAAUGCGUGUAGAUAAAAACAUACAUGUGCAUUGUUCAUUUAAUGUAAUUUUCAUCUGUUUUGCCCUGCACAGUCAUCAUCAGAUUGAAGCGUUAUCACCCUGCAGAAGAGUUUUGCUUGAGCAGCAUUUGUUAGCCCAGCGUCCCUUCCGCUACGUAAGCGAAACUGCGACCGUUGAGUGCGUGAAGUGUCCACAGUUCCACACUUCAUAUUUGAUAUUCAUAUAUUCAAGGUUGAAAAAUUGCAUCAUCCAGAAGACCAAACUUACACAACGCGAUGGCCACACCAUAUUCAUCACCGGACCCCUUCACCAUCCUAGAACCCUUUACUGACCCCUAUUUGGACCUGGACGACUUCAUCUCUCCAGAGAACCAGUAACUGCAGCUCUUUCAGGACGGCAUGUCUCUGGAGAGGUAUGUGGAGGACUUCUUCGAGGCGUGCUCGCUGGUAAGUUGGAACGACCACGAAUGUAAACAUUUAUUUUUGUCGGGACUGGAUGAUGAGCUGUUCGCCCUCAAUAUGUUUCCCGACGUGGAUGAGUACCCCAUCAAGGAACCUAGUCAUCCAGACUGCAGGGUGUGAAUUCUGGGUCGGAAAGAGUGAUGGAUGCGGGUACAGUAGUCAUCUGGUCCCGGCAAUCGAUGGUGGGGCCAGGAACCACAACGACACCGAACCCGGCAAAAGACACAGCAACUUAGUCAGCGUUCAUCCUGGAGCCCAAGCUCCGAGGUGCGUCUGACCCUGACUCUGUCUUCGUCAGGCUCAUCCUUCCCUCCAGCUCUACCUACGUCCUCACUCUCUCUGGCUCUGACGUGGUCUAUCUUGGCCACGCCUUCUCCUUGGUCGCUUGAGCCAUCGGUUUCACCUCAGCCCUCUGGACCGUCGGUGUCGCCCGGGCUCUCCGUCUGAGUGGCUUCACCCUUGACUCCUUUCUCUUCAUCUCCGUCGCUCGUCCCCAGGGCUACAUCUGUCUGGCUCCCCCUCCUUCGACUGACUGGGAUCCCUUCCUCUCGGCUGAUCUCUGGGUCAUCACCCUGUCCUCCUGCACUGGACUCACCCCUUGAUCCUCCAACUAUCUCCACCAUCCCAGCCCUAUGGACUACCCCCUGCCACCCUCCCUUUGGAAAUGCCUCACCCACCUCUUGACUAUUGGAUUCAUUUAUCUAUACAAAUACAUAUACAAAUAUGUAACUGGAAUCCAAACAUUGUUAUAGAUACUGGGCAUCUUCACGCAAAAAUCUUGUCCUACUGGCUAUCUGAUGUCUUCCGUCUGACCCGCUGUUGUUUCCACCCAAACGGAAUCUGACGAUUAAACACAAUUACAGAAAGUCAGCAGUUUAAAUUAAUAGGUUAAAAGCGGUUUGUGCUUUUGAGACUAACAGAGUCUAAUAAAUAAUAUAAAAAUAGCGAUGUUAACACAACUAAUUUGAAAACAUAUUUAGACGACUCAACAUGCUGAUAGAAAAGAAUUUAUCUUUAGUGAAUCACAUUUAAGAUCCUAAUUCAGUACGUAAUUGUUAGAUAUUGAAAAGAGACCUGGGCUGGGCUAUACCUUAAGAGUGGUAGCGAUUUAUUCUUAAAAAAGCAACGUAGUGAUAGGAAGGUUUCGGGAAACCCAGCCCAGGGGUUUGAGGUUAUUUUUUCUCUUUCUUAUUGUAGAAUCGUGAACACUGAUCCAUAACUGAAGCAAGAGAGGCCUGCAGUUCUUUAGAUGUUGUUCUCAGGUUCUAUUCAAGUGAUUUCAUGAUUCAACAGGUCUGGCACGCUUGAGUUUGGCUGUUGCAAUUUAACUUGGUUAUUAAAUUCAUCAAAGUUAAUUCAUGAUUUACCAAGGGGAGCAAUUACUUUUCCACAUAGGGUCAGAAACGUUUGGAUUGUUUUUUCCCAUAAUGAAUAAAACGUCAUUUAAAAAUA